rnacentral:rRNA from 1 species
UACAGAGGCCCCAAGCGUUACUGAGAAUCACUGGGUUUAAAGGGUGCGUAGGUGGUCCGUUAAGUUCGUUGUGAAAGCCCUGGGCUCAACCCAGGAACUGCUUCGAAUACUGGCGGACUUGAGGCUAGUAGAGGUCACUGGAACUGACGGUGGAGCGGUGAAAUGCGUAGAUAUCGUCAGGAACGCCAAUGGUGAAGACAGGUGACUGGGCUAGUUCUGACACUGAGGCACGAAAGCGUGGGGGAUCAAACGGG